UACGGAGGGGGCUAGCGUUGUCCGAAGUUACUGGGCGUAAAGCGCGCGUAGGCGGGUUGGUAAGUCCGCUGUGAAAGCCCGGAGCUCAACUCCGGAGGGUCGGUGGAUACUGCCAGUCUUGAAGGUGCUAGGGGGGAGAUGGAAUUACCGGUGUAGCGGUGAAAUGCGUAGAUAUCGGUAGGAACACCAGUGGCGAAGGCGGUCUCCUGGGGCAUUCUUGACGCUGAGACGCGAAAGCGCGGGGAGCGAACGGG
rnacentral:rRNA from 1 species